rnacentral:rRNA from 1 species
CGGCAAACGGGUGCGGAACACGUACGCAACCUCCCCGGAACAGGUGAAUAGCCUUGCGAAAGUAAGAUUAAUACACCGUACCAUAUAGUUGUGGCAUCACGAUUAUAUUAUAGGUAGCAAUACCGGUUCCGGAUGGGCGUGCGCCUGAUUAGGUAGUUGGUGCGGGUAACGGCCCACCAAGCCUUCGAUCAGUAACUGGUGUGAGAGCACGACCAGUCACACGGGCACUGAGACACGGGCCCGACUCCUACGGGAGGCAGCAGUAAGGAAUAUUGGUCAAUGGACGCAAGUCUGAACCAGCCAUGCCGCGUGCAGGAUGACGGCCCUCUGGGUUGUAAACUGCUUUUAUCUGGGACGAAAAACGGACUUUCUAGUUCACUUGACGGUACCAGAGGAAUAAGCACCGGCUAACUCCGUGCCAGCAGCCGCGGUAAUACGGAGGAUCCAAGCGUUAUCCGGAAUCAUUGGGUUUAAAGGGUCCGUAGGCGGCCAGGUAAGUCAGUGGUGAAA